rnacentral:misc_RNA from 1 species
AUUGUAUUAGCGGGGGUUGGUAGUUUGACACUGGUGGAUGAUCGUGCUGUGACUGAAGAUGCAUUAUCUUCAAACUUUUUGAUACCACCUAAUGAGAAUGUGUAUGCUGGGAAAACACUUGCUGAGCUUUGUUGCAAUUCUCUGAAAGAAUUCAACCCAAUGGUUCGGGUUUCUGUUGAGAAAGAAUAUAUGCAGCUAAUUGAAAACAAAAUAAGCAUCCAAAUUACAGGUGAUUUGUCAAGAUUUGGUGGAGACUUCUUUGAUAAGUUUGACAUUGUAAUUGUCAGUUGCUGCACCCGCAUGACCAAGAAAUUGAUCAAUGAGAAGUGUCGCAAGUUAUCAAAGCGUGUAGCAUUUUAUACAGUUGACUGUAGAGAUUAUUGUGGUGAGAUUUUUGUUGAUUUGCAGAAGUAUAUAUAUACAAAGAAAAAGCUUGAUGAAAACAAUCAACCCA